CGCCAGAUAGCUCAGUUGGUAGAGCACCUGACUAGAGCUUCAGGGGGCCCGGGUUCGAAACCCGGUCUGGUCC
rnacentral:tRNA from 1 species